rnacentral:snRNA from 1 species
GUAUUCGCUUCAGCAGCACAUAUACUAAAAAUUGGAAUGAUGCAGAAAAGAUCAGCAUGGACCCUGUGCAAAGAUAAACACAAAUUACUGAAGCAUUUCGUAUUUUU